AGUGAACGCUGGCGGUAGGCCUAACACAUGCAAGUCGAACGGCAGCACAGUAAGAGCUUGCUCUUACGGGUGGCGAGUGGCGGACGGGUGAGGAAUACAUCGGAAUCUACUUUUUCGUGGGGGAUAACGUAGGGAAACUUACGCUAAUACCUCAUACGACCUACGGGUGAAAGCAGGGGAUCUUCGGACCUUUCGCGAUUGAAUGAGCCGAUGUCGGAUUAGCUAGUUGGCGGGGUAAAGGCCCACCAAGGCGACGAUCCGUAGCUGGUCUGAGAGGAUGAUCAGCCACACUGGAACUGAGACACGGUCCAGACUCCUACGGGAGGCAGCAGUGGGGAAUAUUGGACAAUGGGCGAAAGCCUGAUCCAGCCAUACCGCGUGGGUGAAGAAGGCCUUCGGGUUGUAAAGCCCUUUUGUUGGGAAAGAAAAGCAGCAGGUUAAUACCCCGCUGUUCUGACGGUACCCAAAGAAUAAGCACCGGCUAACUUCGUG
rnacentral:rRNA from 1 species